rnacentral:tRNA from 1 species
GAGAGGGGCCCGAAGGCAAUGGAGACUGCUAAUUUCCACCCCCUUGGUUAAACCCCAAGGCCCACUCG